CCCACGUUGAAACACCGAUUCUCGUACGAUCACCGAAGUUAAGCAACACUGAGCUAGGUCGGUACCUAGAUGAGUGACCGCUUUGGAAUAUCAGCUGC